CAAGAAUGUAUCCUCUCAUCGAUUCACUUUCCCGUAUUUUUCUAUGCAUCUGUUUCUACAUAAAAUUGCAAGGUCCAGAAGAAGCACAAAUAUGAUGAUUUGAAACCCAAUAGACCAUAAAAGAAGGAUGAGGAAGAUAGAGGGAAAUCAAAGAAAUCACUUUUUAUAAAAGUCUAUAGUGCAUGGAUUUAUGUCAUAUGAUGUUGCUCGGAUAUUGAAUCGUCCUCACCACAGCUCAGUUGUGGCUUAUCUCAGCCGAGAAUAUAGGAAAAGGUAAUGCGUUUUAUUAUUUCAUUGAAGUGAAUGUCUCUUUACCUUAUUAGUUAUUGGAUACUCGUAAGCAAGAAAAACUUAUAUUGAGUUUGUAAGCUUUGUUAGACGAUGCUAGUCCAUCCCGAAAAGUACGGAUAGUGAGAUAGUAGUUGAAGCUUUUAAGAACUGCAGAACCCAUAUGACGUAAUGAUUGUGGUUCAUCAUUUGUAUUGGUGCAUCGAGAUCCUCCAUCUCUGAUCUCACUAGCUGUUUUCUAUUGGUUAUCAAGAUGGCAAAAGGAGAACCUCCCCUAGCUGACCUUCAUCCUAUGAGAGUGCUUUUUAUCAUUCCUCGAGAAAAUCCUCCUCAGUUAGACGAGCACUUUUCCCGUCCAGUGAAGGAGUUUGUUUCAUUAUCCUUUACAAAAGUCCCUGUUGAGAGACCGAGUGCCAAAGAACUUAUUAAACACAGAUUUAUUAAGAACCCAUAUCGACAUAAAACACAACCAGAGUUCUGAGAGAGUUGCUUCAUAUUUUGUGCAAUGUUCUUCAUGACUCAGGAGGAUGAUAAAGCUGAGGCUCCGGAGGAUGAGAUGGUUGUGAAAGGGCAUGAUGUAGAGAAGAAACAUAAUUGGAACCAGAGUUUGAAAAACAGAAGGAGAGGAAGCAGAAAGCUUUGAAGGAGAAAGAGAUGGAUAAUGCUGCAUACAAUUAUUUCGAAACUUCUAAUAAGCCUUACUCCAAAAAGGCAUUAGGGAGAAACAGAAACAGGAAGAGGUGAAGCGUUUAAAUAAGGGGGCUGCUGAGACAGAGAGGAAUCACAUAGAAGAAUAAGAAGAAUAGACCCAGGAGAGAACAUAGCCUCAAGCUUCAUAGAGAGAGAGUCUGCUAGACUGAGAAUGAGACAAGAAAAGGCACUUAUACUUGACGGAUCUGAGAAAGGACCUGAUGCUAUACAUAAGGCACAUAUUAUGAAGAAAAAAGGGAUCUUAUGAGUGUGCUCAUGCUUGAUGAAAAGAUUUUUCCUCAAGUUAUGAACAACUCAUGUGUAUCUUGCAAGGGUUCUGACAGAAUCAAGAUAUCUUGAAACGAAAACCCAACUGCAAGUCAUUAUGAUCCGCUGCAACAAGCACAUCCAUUGGAGGAGACAAUUACUGCACAUGUUGAGCCUGCUUGCGGUGGGAGGACUGUUGAGGAGCCACUCGUUCUAGCAUUUGAGUGCUUGCUCAAAAAGGCUCGCAAGACUUAACCUACCAAGUUAGAAAGAUUUAAAUACUAUUCUAUACUUGCAAUCCUUGAUUUCAUAUAUUAUGUGUGCAAAUG